rnacentral:lncRNA from 1 species
AGUGUUCCUACGUGAUCAGUUAAAGCACUUGGCCUAUGCAGCACUGCAUGACCUGGUUUCUCUGUAUUGCUUCCAGUGCUAUUUUUUUGCAGGUUGAAUAAUUUUAGCUGUGGUGCGGCAAAUUCCAGGUCUUGCCAGCUCUUAUCUGCUGGAAACCAGUGACUGAGUGGGAGGACACUUUGCAGAGAAGUGGAAUGGGUCCUGCUUGGUAUGCUGGCUGUGCUAAAGUAUGACAGCACUAAAAAUGCUUUACUUUUGAGAUACAACACCAGAAAAAUAUAAUGGCAAUGCAGCAGAUUCAUCACAUCAUAAUCAAACUCCUGAAUCUUAAAAUGAUUGGAUUUGUUACAGCUGUCUGUGUUGCCCACAAUAUUUGGGUUAUACUUGUAAGAAGCACUUCGAUAGAGAGAACAUGCAGCCUAUUUGUAGGAG